rnacentral:rRNA from 1 species
CUCCUACGGGAGGCAGCAGUCGGGGAUAUUGCACAAUGGGGGAAGACCCCUGAUGCAGCGACGCCGCGUGGAGGAAGAAGGUUUUCGGAUUGUAAACUCCUGUCGUUAGGGACGAUAAUGACGGUACCUAACAAGAAAGCACCGGCUAACUACGUGCCAGCAGCCGCGGUAAAACGUAGGGUGCAAGCGUUGUCCGGAAUUACUGGGUGUGAAGGGAGCGCAGGCGGACCGGCAAGUUGGAAGUGAAAACUAUGGGCUCAACCCAUAAAUUGCUUUCAAAACUGCUGGCCUUGAGUAGUGCAGAGGUAGGUGGAAUUCCCGGUGUAGCGGUGGAAUGCGUAGAUAUCGGGAGGAACACCAGUGGCGAAGGCGACCUACUGGGCACCAACUGACGCUGAGGCUCGAAAGCAUGGGUAGCAAACAGGAUUAGAUACCCUGGUAGUCCAUGCCGUAAACGAUGAUUACUAGGUGUUGGAGGAUUGACCCCUUCAGUGCCGCAGUUAACACAAUAAGUAAUCCACCUGGGGAGUACGACCGCAAGGUUGAAACUCAAAGGAAUUGACGGGGGGCCCGCACAAGCAGUGGAGUAUGUGGUUUAAUUCGAAGCAACGCGAAGAACCUUACCAGGUCUUGACAUCCGAUGCAUAGUGCAGAGAUGCAUGAAGUCUUCGGGACAUCGAGACAAGUGGUGCAUGGUUGUCGUCAGCUCGUGUCGUGAGAUGUUGGGUUAAGUCCCGCAACGAGCGCAACCCUUAUUGCCAGUUACUACGCAAGAGGACUCUGGCGAGACUGCCGUUGACAAAACGGAGGAAGGUGGGGAUGACGUCAAAUCAUCAUGCCCUUUAUGACCUGGGCUACACACGUACUACAAUGGCGUUUAACAAAGAGAAGCAAGACCGCGAGGUGGAGCAAAACUCAAAAACAACGUCUCAGUUCAGAUUGCAGGCUGCAACUCGCCUGCAUGAAGUCGGAAUUGCUAGUAAUCGCGGAUCAGCAUGCCGCGGUGAAUACGUUCCCGGGCCUUGUACACACCGC